CAUUCACGGAGAGUUUGAUCCUGGCUCAGGACGAACGCUGGCGGCGUGCUUAACACAUGCAAGUCGAACGAUGAAGCCCUUCGGGGUGGAUUAGUGGCGAACGGGUGAGUAACACGUGGGCAAUCUGCCCUUCACUCUGGGACAAGCCCUGGAAACGGGGUCUAAUACCGGAUAACACUCUGUCCCGCAUGGGACGGGGUUAAAAGCUCCGGCGGUGAAGGAUGAGCCCGCGGCCUAUCAGCUUGUUGGUGGGGUAAUGGCCUACCAAGGCGACGACGGGUAGC
rnacentral:rRNA from 1 species